CGGGUCGAAUCUCUUGAAAACUCAUUCGAGGCGUUGGAGGGACACGCCAUGGGAAAGAUAGAAACUCUACAAAUAAAUGUCCAAGAGGUAAUGGACACACAGGCAUCAUUGGGGGAUGAUGUCCAAGCAAUGAAAGGUGAUGUUCGAGCUGUGGUAGCCGGACAAGCCGCGGUGAUGGAUGAUUUUGGUCGUCUCCAAACCAAAGUCAUGGAUGCCGUUUCCGCUAUGCAUGGCCAAGUUAACCAAUUGGCUAUGAUGAUGGAAAGAAUGAGCAAGGAGCUUGAUCAAUACAAGCACUCCACUGUCGGUACAAGUGGAGGUGCCGCUUCAAGUAUUGUUGCCCCGAGGAUUGAAUACCCGAAGCCUAAACAUUAUGAUGGGCGACGGGAUGCCAAAGAUGUGGAAAACUUCCUAUGGCAAAUGGAAGUCUAUUUUGAAGUCGUAAAUCUUGUUGAUGAAGCCAUGAAAGUUUGAACUGCUUCUAUGUAUCUCUCGAAUAUUGCGGCGUUGUGGUGGCGUCGUAAGCAUGGUGAAAUUGCAAGGGGAUCUUGUAGGGUUGAUACUUGGGAUGAGUUCAAAAGGGAAAUAAAGAGGCAAUUCUACCCGGAGAAUGUCGUCUAUGAGGCACGCAAGAAAUUGAGGGAACUGAAACAUACAGGAACAAUUCGUGACUACGUCAAAGAGUUCACGACCCUUAUGCUUCAAAUCCCAAGUAUGCCGGAGGAUGAUUUGCUAUUCUAUUUUCUAGACGGUUGUGC
rnacentral:lncRNA from 1 species